GAGGGUAUAGCUCGAAUGGUAGAUCACAUGCUCAGCAUGCAUGAGGUCCUGGGUUCAAUCCCUAGUACCUCCU
rnacentral:tRNA from 1 species